GGAAGAAGCUACAAAGCUAGCUCUGAAUCUGCCCAGACUUUGAUACGUUACAGUUUUACAUCGUGACCAGUAUAAGUAAUUCCCGCAAAGGUUUAAAUGUUUGGAAGGUUAGAGAUGUUGAAGCAGAUGGAAAAAGUGAAAAUGGGGUUUUACUAAAGAGACUUUUGCGGAAGUUCAAGUGUUUGAGAGGUUAGAGACCAAAGGAAUGAGGAAAAAUAGGGAAUGUGGCAUUUACUUCUCUGCACAAUAUCUAAUUUUUGGCUUCCAUUUGUACUGGUGGUGAUGACUUAUAUUACAAUCAUGAUUCUUACUUGCCAACACUUUUCAAUCUAUCACUAUAGUUAUAAGAAUAUCAGUGUUUUGAAAAAACAAACAAAAGUACACCGUUUACAUUUAGAGACUUAUACGCUAUGUGUUUUAUAUAAGAUUUCUAUGGCAGGUUCAUUCCUUGCAAUGUUUAAUACAUUGAAAAUAAAAGAUAUGAGAAUGAAGUGAAUAUUUUGUUUUAUAUGUUCCCUCCUGAUUGCAGUUAUAAUAGGGAGUGCAAUUCUAUUUGUUAGUUUGACCAUCAGAUUGGGUGUGGACUAAACAUAUUAUGUGGUCUACUUAUGUUUCAUAUAUCUAUUACUCCAUACUUGAACGUAAGAGUUGAAUUCCAUAGUAUAUCAGAUCUCUUUCACAUUCGUCACACUUAAAUUCCAGUGUUUUGAGUAGUUUACA